UUUCCCUCAGGAUAGCUGGCACUCUUGCACACCCACACCAAAGUGAUGCAGUGUUAUCCAGUAAAGGGAAUGAUUACAGGUCAAUAUCAACUUAUUCUCAAACUUUAAAUGGGUAAGAAGCCCAGCUUUCUGGCAUGGAGCUGGGCCCAGCAAAGGCUCUGCAA
rnacentral:ncRNA from 1 species